rnacentral:rRNA from 10 species
UCUGGCGUCUUACCGCCAUGGAGACGCCCGAUCUCAGAAGCUAAGCAGGGUCGGGCCUGGUUAGUACCUGGAUGGGAGACCGCCUGGGAAUACCAGGUGCUGUAAGUG